rnacentral:tRNA from 1 species
UGUGUUGUGGCUCAGUGGUAGAGUGUUUGCAUAGCAUGCGUGAGGCACUGGGUUCGAUCCCCAGCACUACAU